UCCGAGUAGUAAUUAAAUUACCCGCUUUUAGAAUAUAGAAUAAAAUACUAAAAAUAUAUUCUUUUCCUCUGUUUUUUGGAGAGGCGGUGAAAAGUUGAAGUUGAGAGAGAGAGAGAGAGAGAGAGAGAGAGAGAGAGAGAGAGGAGUUCUGAGUAGUUGUACAAACAGUAUGUACAAAUAAAUCCAUAUCUGUGUUUGUGUGUAGGGAGAGGAAGAUGUGCAUGAUGACACAUAUGAUGAGGUCGGAAGAAAGCUAGUCUCCAUGCUUUUGCAUUUGGAAUGAUUAUCCUAUAAUUUGUUUGCUUUUUGUUUUUCUAAUUUUUAAUCUCUUGAUUUUUAAUUGCUUAAUUUGAUUUUUUUUUUUUAAAUAAUGGACUACUUGGGAAGACCAAACCCCUGUAUAUAAAUAUAUAUAUAUAUAUAUGUAUAUAACACAUUUUAAAGUUAACCCUUUUGUAUAAUCAAUAUUCUAUUCCAUAUUACAUAUUUCCUCCUAUAAAAAUGUCUACUACCUAAUAGGUAAUCAAUUGAGAACUGUGUAAGUCAAAAAUCAACUCAACUGUGAAUACUCUUUCCUGUUCUAUUAUAUAUCUAUAUGGGUGUAUCACACAUCUAAUAAGUAGAUAGGUUAAUAUGUAUAUAUAUAUGUGUGCCUGUCUGUAUAUAAGAACAGAACACAUUAUAUUCAAUCCGUCCUCCAACAAUUUUGCUUAAAAUUUAUUUGAGAGUAGAGUACGUCCACGAAUUAUGAACAGUGUUGUAAGCCUAAUUCUUUCCACAACUUAAAUAAAACAUAUAUGAAAAAUGACAACGUAUUAAAUGUUGGGGCUGUGAAGAAAAAUGUAUAUUCUAAAUAUGGGUGUGAGUGAAGUGACAAGAAAAUGAUGCCAUGCCUCCAUUUUUAAUCACUGCCAACUUGGUACUUUUUCCCAUAUAUCUCAUUUUCCACGAAAACUUUACAUAUAUACACAUAUAUUAUAUAUAAAAUCUUCCAGUUGUCUUCUACCAGUCAAAACUCCCAAGAACUUUGAAAACCAUGUCAAUUUGAUUGGAUAUCACAUAUUGAUCCAUGUAAUUGAUUGACGUGUAUGUAAAUUAUAUAUAUAUAUAUAUGUAGUAAUUAACAUUCACAUUUAAUUAUUGGUAAGAGGGUUUUUAGUUAAUUAAUUAAUUAAGGAGGAAGGUUAAUUAAAUGCGUGCGAUCAGUUUGGUUGUGUGACAAAAUCUCAGCCAUGCACAUGACCCAACUGUAAUGAGGAGAUAAAUUCCAAAGGAAACGACGAAGCAAACAUGUAAAAGGGAAUAAUCGUCCGGAUGACAGUGUGUGUUUGUAGCUUAACUCACAUUCAUUUUAGAUUUGUUGCCCACUUGCUCUCUUUCAUCCAUAUGUGUAUAUAUAUGCAUCUCAUCCUAAAUAUUUUCCUAAAAAAAUUCUAUAUAUAAACAUAGGUGGAUAUAUUGAUGGGAAGGUUUGGUAAAUGUUAAUUAGUAAUGGGUAUUGAUUUAUUUCUUGAAUGGUAGAUUUAUAUACAUACAUAUAUAUAUAUAUAUAUAUGGUUAAAAUUAGAGAGGGGGGAAGGGACAGGGAGCUGACAAAGGCAGUGAAUAUUUGGGAGUGAUGGGGAGGCGUCUGGUUGUGGGCUGACUUUUCCUAGUAAGACUUUAAUCAUAAUCUAAUCAUGUAAUUACUUUCUAACUUUGUUUAGUAUUUAAUUUUUGGAGUUUAGCUGUUGAACUGUGGCUGCACCAGAAUAUUCUCUCCUUCUCCAACACUCCAACUUUCAACACUACUGCAGAUUCCUACUCUAAUUUAUUACAAACCCCCACAACCCCUUUUUUUAUUUUUCUUUUUCUUUUUCUUUUCUUUCUUUCUACUAUACAUACAUACACACACCCAUUUAACUAUAUAGUUUAGAAAUUAAUAAGGUAGGGCUUAUAUAUAAAUAUGCAUAUUUUUUGAAAUACAAGAGGUUUAGGGAAAAGCAAAAUGUUGUCACCAAGGGCAUGUUUGUUUCUUUCUUUGUCUUCUACUAUUUGUAUUAUCUUUGUUAAUAGCAAGCAAUUAAGAGGGAGAGAAGAGAAGAAGACUUCAACUUUAAGAUUAUGAG
rnacentral:lncRNA from 1 species